CCGUAUCUUUUCCCCUGACAAAAUUACUCUAGUUUGGGUGUAUGCAAACAGGUGCAUGUCACUUUAAGAACUCGCAAACUAACAACAAACAGUUACAACGAUGAUACAUUUGAUCAGUCUGCAAGUGACCAUACACAUUUCCGGUUUAAUGGGGUUUCAGUGAAGGACCUAUCGACUGAUGAAUGUACGUUUGGAUGUAUUAGUGGGCCUGCUGUUUGGAGAGGGGCCCACUUAUCCUGUGAAGGCAGACAGAUCCAUCUGGCGAGGAGAGGGAAAGAGAGGUGAAGUGCCCUUUGACCUUUUGAAGGAGAGGGAAGCAGCUCCAUAUCUCAUGCUCAUCGGACAGCCUUGUUUGAUCUGGACUCACCUCAGUUCACACGUCUCAGCUUCUGGCCCCAACUUACAAGAGAGGUAUGCAAGCUUGCGAGUGUGUGUGCGCAAUGAUGCAAUUUUACAUGAGUAUCAUCGUAGC